rnacentral:misc_RNA from 1 species
GAUGAAGAACGUAGCGAAAUGCGAUAAGUAAUGUGAAUUGCAGAAUUCAGUGAUUCAUCGAAUCUUUGAACGCAUCUUGCGCUCCUUGGUAUUCCGAGGAGCAUGCCUGUUUGAGUGUCAUCAAGUUCUCAAACUGCAUCCAUUUGAAGGGUGUGGAUUUGGAUUAUGGAGUUUGCAGGCUCUUUGAUUGAGGUCUGCUCCUCUGAAAUGUAUUAGUGGCGAUGUGGAAAAGCUACUGUGGGUGUGAUAAAUAUCUAUGCCUUAUGCAGUGUUCUGCUAUGCCGCUUGCAGGGAGAAAUUUCAUUUUUGACAAACUUGACCUCAAAUCAGGUAGGACUACCCGCUGAACUUAAGCAUAUCAAUAAGCGGAGGA